rnacentral:rRNA from 1 species
UAGUAACGGCGAGUGAAGCGGGAUGAGCUCAAGCUUAAAAUCUCUGUGCCAGUUUGGCAUGGCGAAUUGUAGUCUAUGGAGGCGCUAUCAGUGCGAUUGUUCGGGUUAAGUUCCUUGGAAGAGGACAGCAUCGAGGGUGAUACUCCCGUAUGUACCUGUUCAGUCGCGCGUACGAUACGUUUUCUUUGAGUCGCGUUGUUUGGGAAUGCAGCGCAAAGUAGGUGGUAAAUUCCAUCUAAAGCUAAAUAUUGGUGCGAGACCGAUAGCGAACAAGUACCGUGAGGGAAAGAUGAAAAGAACUUUGAAAAGAGAGUUAAAGAGUACCUGAAACUGCUGAAAGGGAACCGAAUCGUUUCCAGUGUCUAUAAUCCAUGGUAUAUUUCAUUGGUGUGUAAGUGCGUGCAGCGUUUUGGAAGUAGUUUUCUGCUCCUGUCGUUGUUGUGCAUUUGCCUGCUGGUGCCCUGUGCUGUGGUGGGACGUCAGAGUCAGUUCGUGUGUUGCGGGAAAUGGUUAUUGGGGAGGUAGGUCACUUCGGUGGCUGUUAUAUCCUGAUAACUAGUCGUCGUGGCUGGGACUGAGGUGCCUACAACGUGCUUUUGAGUCUGCGGGCUUCUCGUGUUGCUGUUUGCUUGGAUAGCUUGCUAUGUUUGUAAAUAAGUCGUGCGAUUGAGACCUGUAGUAACUUGUUGCCGUUC